GACGAACGCUGGCGGCGUGCUUAACACAUGCAAGUCGAACGGAAAGGCCCUGCUUUUGUGGGGUGCUCGAGUGGCGAACGGGUGAGUAACACGUGAGUAACCUGCCCUUGACUUUGGGAUAACUUCAGGAAACUGGGGCUAUUACCGGAUAGGAGCUCCUGCUCCAUGGUGGGGGUUGGAAAGUUUCGGCGGUUGGGGAUGGACUCGCGGCUUAUCAGCUUGUUGGUGGGGUAGUGGCUUACCAAGGCUUUGACGGGUAGCCGGCCUGAGAGGGUGACCGGCCACAUUGGGACUGAGAUACGGCCCAGACUCCUACGGGAGGCAGCAGUGGGGAAUAUUGCACAAUGGGCGGAAGCCUGAUGCAGCAACGCCGCGUGCGGGAUGACGGCCUUCGGGUUGUAAACCGCUUUCGCCUGUGACGAAGCGUGAGUGACGGUAAUGGGUAAAGAAGCACCGGCUAACUACGUG
rnacentral:rRNA from 1 species